AACUAUUUAAUAUAAAAAGUAUAAAAGACAUCCAAUUUUUUAGUUCAUGAAAUGAAAUAGUUA
rnacentral:tRNA from 1 species